UCGGUGGAACAACAACGUCUCUAUCUAAGAGCGAGCCUUAACGGCAGCAAUCUGCCUAGAUUUUAUUUUUCAUUUUCAGUGAGUUUUUUUGUUCUUUAUUUUGCCUUUCCAUUGUUAUUUUUGUAUCCAGUUUGAAUAUACAAAGUAAAGUACAUCAAGCUAAAUUAUACUUUCUUUCUUGUUUGACUUUUCUCUCCGAAGCUCUUUGAAAGUUGGGUGUGUCCAGACAUAACUUCUGUACUGAAGACAACUUUCCCUGACUACUAUCAGCAUUAGUUUGGACAAAAAGCUGAAAACUGACCGCGUGUCCAUCAUGGCAAAUCACCUGACACUUCUUCUGGAGGGUCUGAACGAUUUGGAGUCGGAGAAGCUGGAUGAGUUCAAACUGUAUCUGAGCCAGGGGGCACUGGAGGGCAUUGAGCGCAUACCGAGA